AGAAGAUGACGACCUCGUGGUCUCCACCCCAGGAGUGAAGAUCUCUGCACCUCAGGUGAGACCCACGAGCUAUCCAGAGACAGGUCAGCUCCUGAGUCACCGUGGUCACCGGCUCCUCUGGCUCAUCUGGAACCGCACUUGUGUUCUGAAUAAAAUGUCCCCCACAGGCUUGUGGGUUUGAACCUUUGGUCCUCAGCUGAUGGUGUUGUUUAGGGAAGUUGUGAACCCUUAAAGAGUUAGAGGAAGUAGGGAAUGGGAGCAGACCUUGUGGUUUCAUAGCCCAGGACCACUGCCUGUUAGCUCUGCUUCCUGUGUGUGGUCACAAUGUGACUAACCAGUCUCCCAGCUCCCACCACCAUGCCUUAGCAACC
rnacentral:lncRNA from 1 species